rnacentral:snRNA from 1 species
GCUUUGCCGCACAUAUACCCAUUACUAAAAUUAGAAUGAAACAGUGAAGAUCAGCAUGGUCCCUGCACAAGGAUGACAUGCAAAUUCAUGAAGCGUUCCAUAUUUUU